UUUGAUUUGUGACAAAAAAAAAAUACAUUGUUUGAUUAAUCUCUUAAAACUACAAUUGAUAGGAAAAACUAUAAGAUUUAGAUAUAUAUAUUAAUCAAUUAAAUUAUAUUUAAUAAUUAUUUAAAUCGAUUGAAAAUGUAUCUUUAGAUUAGACACUUGAUAAUAUGUAUGUAUACUGAAUAUGCGAAGAUACACGUAGUUUUUAAGUUUAUAAGGGUUCACUAACUAAUGGAUUUCUAUUCGGUAGUGACUAGUAAGUAGAUUGUUGAUUCUAAUUCAAUGAUCAAUUCUCUUUAUAAACAACUUUUUCUUACUACUGUUUCCAUAUUAUGAUCAUAGUACGACUGAAGAACUGGUAACGGUGAAGUUGUUUUGGGAGGGCGUUGUGGAUCUCUAAAGUAGUUUCAAGAAUUGGUUUUUGCUUCUUCCACAAAUAUCCGAACUAAGAUGGAAUUGGUUUU
rnacentral:lncRNA from 1 species